GGGGAAUUUUCCGCAAUGGGCGAAAGCCUGAAGCAGCAACGCCGCGUGAGGGAUGACGGCCUUCGGGUUGUAAACCUCUUUUUUCAGGGACGAUAAUGACGGUACCUGAAGAAUAAGCCACGGCUAACUACGUGCCAGCAGCCGCGGUAAUACGUAGGUGGCGAGCGUUGUCCGGAUUUACUGGGCGUAAAGAGCGCGCAGGCGGUCGUGCAAGUCGGAUGUGAAAUCCCCCGGCUCAACUGGGGAGGGUCAUUCGAUACUGCUCGACUCGAAGGCGGGAGAGGGAAGCGGAAUUCCCGGUGUAGUGGUGAAAUGCGUAGAUAUCGGGAGGAACACCAGUGGCGAAGGCGGCUUCCUGGCCCGUUCUUGACGCUGAGGCGCGAAAGCUAGGGGAGCGAAAGGGAUUAGAUACCCCUGUAGUC
rnacentral:rRNA from 1 species